CGGCAACGGAUAUCUCGGCUCUCGCAUCGAUGAAGAACGUAGCGAAAUGCGAUACUUGGUGUGAAUUGCAGAAUCCCGUGAACCAUCGAGUCUUUGAACGCAAGUUGCGCCCGAAGCCGUCAGGCCGAGGGCACGCCUGCCUGGGCGUCACACGCCGUUGCCCCC
rnacentral:rRNA from 1 species